AACGACGAUGGCGAUGAUGAUGAUGAUGAUGAUGAAAUUGUUCAUGAGAAAAUUUAGUAUUGAGAUUAUUAUAGUUAUCAUCGUCGUCGUCGUCGUCGUCGUCGUUGUCAUAA
rnacentral:pre_miRNA from 1 species